GAUGAAGAACGUAGCGAAAUGCGAUAAGUAAUGCGAAUUGCAGAAUUCAGUGAAUCAUCGAAUCUUUGAACGCACAUUGCGCCCGCUAGUAUUCUGGCGGGCAUGCCUGUCUGAGCGUCAUUUCAACCCUCGCCCCCGGCUUUUGCUGGGAGCGGUGUUGGGGAUCGGCCGCCCGUCACUGGGAGGCCGGCCCCGGAAUAGAGUGGCGACCACGCCGUGUGCUCCUCUGCGUAGUAGUAAAUCACCUCGCAGGCGGACAGCGGUGCGGCCUGCCGUAAAACCCCCAACUCUUUCUGGUUGACCUCAGAUCAGGUAGGAAUACCCGCUGAACUUAAGCAUAUCAAUAAGCGGAGGA
rnacentral:misc_RNA from 1 species